rnacentral:rRNA from 1 species
GCAAACUUCGAGACCGGCGGCGCGGUGAGAAGAUGUGGGCAAGCGUUAAGCGGAAGUACUGGGCGUAGAGCUGACGCAGGCGGUCUGUCAAGUCGGAUGUGAGAUCCCCGGGCUCAACCUGGGAACUGCAUUCGAAAGUGGCAGGCUAGAGGCUGGGAGAGGGGGGUAGAAUUCCAGGUGUAGCGGUGAAAUGCGUAGAGAUCUGGAGGAAUACCGGUGGCGAAGGCGGCCCCCUGGACAAAGACUGACGCUCAGGUGCGAAAGCGUGGGGAGCAAACAGGAUUAGAUACCCGAGUAGUC